rnacentral:misc_RNA from 1 species
CUCUCUUUUAUUCUCCAAAUCCCAACGCAUCUCUCUUACUGAAUCCUUCCUCCAUUUCCGUCCCUACGCCAACCAAGCCUCAUUUCGCAUCACCACCUCAACUGUCGCAUCACCACCUUCUUUAUUCUUCUCCGAUUAGCAAUCGUUCCUCUUUAGUUCUUCGCUUCUCUUCUUUCUCAGAUAUGGAUUCCACAUCAGGCCAGAGUCUGUACCCUUUGCACCGUACUAAAACUAUUCACCUGGUGAGGCAUGCUCAAGGGAUUCACAAUGUAGAAGGAGAAAAAGACUACAAUGCAUAUUUAUCUGAAGCACUCUUUGAUGCUUGCCUUACCCCUCUCGGUUGGCAGCAGGUUGAUAAUCUGCGCAAGCACGUUCAAGAACGUGGGCUUAAUAAGAAAAUUGAGUUGGUCAUUACUUCCCCUUUGUUAAGGACCAUGCAAACAGCAGUUGGUGUUUUUGGUGGUGAAGGGUACGCUGAUGGCAUAGAGGCCCCUCCAUUGAUGGUGGCAAAUGCUGGGGAAAGUAACCGUCCUGCAAUUUCAAGUUUAAAUUGUCCUCCAUUUGUAGCAGUCGAGCUUUGUCGGGAACAUUUGGGAGUUCAUCCAUGUGACAGGAGAAGAAGUGUUAACGAGUAUAGGCCUCUAUUUCCUGCAAUUGAUUUUUCACUGAUUGAAAAUGAUGCUGACAUUUUGUGGACGGCUGAUGUCAGAGAAGAGAAUCAAGAUGUUGCAGCCAGGGGGCAGAAGUUUUUGAGCUGGUUAUGGACUCGGAAAGAGAAGGAGAUAGCAGUUGUUACACACAGUGGAUUCUUAUAUCAUACAUUAAGUGCUUUUGGGAAUGAUUGUCACCCAUCUGUGAAGUGUGAAAUAUGUACACACUUCAAUAACUGUGAGCUCCGGUCGGUGGUUGUUAUUGAUAGAAGUAUGAUGGGUUCAGAUCCUGCAACAACUA